UGGGGAAUAUUGGACAAUGGGCGAAAGCCUGAUCCAGCCAUGCCGCGUGUGUUAAGAAGGUCUUCGGAUUGUAAAGCACUUUAAGUUGGGAGGAAGGGCGUUAACCUAAUACGUUAGUGUCUUGACGUUACCGAAAGAAUAAGCACAGGCUAACUCUGUGCCAGCAGCCGCGGUAAUACAGAGGGUGCAAGCGUUAAUCGGAAUUACUGGGCGGAAAGCGCGCGUAGGUGGUUUGCUAAGUUGAAUGUGAAAUCCCCGGGCUCAACCUGGGAACUGCAUCCAAAACUUGCAAGCUAGAGGAUGUUAGGAGGUUGUGGAAUUUCCUGUGUAGCGGUGAAAUGCGUAGAUAUAGGAAGGAACACCAGUGGCGAAGGCGACUUCCUGGACUUAUACUGACACUGAAGUGCGAAAGCAUGGGGAGCAAACA
rnacentral:rRNA from 1 species